UACCCAGUCCUACAUUUUAAUUUGUGUCUGCAAUGCAAGGAUAUUUUACUUUACUGCAAAAGUAUGAGGCACACUUUCCCCCUUCUCUUUAGGAUCUCCUUUGUCUCUAGUUAAUGACAUUUACAUGAUAACAACCCCCCCAGCUUGCAGGAAUAAGAAACUGGACAAAACAUCUAUGUUCAAGAUGUUUAAGAGUGAUGUUGCUGACCAGCAGUUUAGCCUGGAAACUGCAAUUAAAAAUAUUGAUAAAAUGUCCAGUGAGUUGAAGAAACUAAAUGGUAAUUCUGACUGUAUCUAUCAUCAAACUAAAGGGGAAAUGACUGAAUUGUUUGAUGCAAUGUUGUUGUAGACGUGUCAGUCCCAGGAUAUUAGAGACACAAGGCGGGAGAGAUAAUAUGUUUGAUGGGACCAACUUCUGGUGGUGAGAGGGAAGCUUUCAAGCUUACACAAAGACAGGUCUGGGAAAUGUACUCAGAAUGUCACAGUUAAAUACAAGGAUUGUUUAGUGGUAUUUAACACAUAUUUCAAGCAACCAUUCAAGGUGAAGUGGCCUGUUAACACCCCUCCAAUCAUGGGGGGGAAGGAAGCGAGGAUUGAGGAGGGAUGUUGGGGGGAGAAGGGGAAGUAAGGAGCUGGGGAGGGGUUAUGGAUUGUUAUAUCCAGUGUCUCUAUUCAGUCUUUGCUAGAUACUAAAACUCAUGAACUGAAUAGAGACACUGGAAUUGUAGCUUUUUAUAACAAUCUGUA
ensembl:lncRNA